AAAGAAAUUAAAAUAAAAAGGAAACUAAAAACGAAAAAAAUGUUGACAAAAUUUCAACAUCAAAAUUCAAGAGGUUAAAAAAAAAAAAAAAAGGAAAAAAACACAGAGAAAUGCAGAGACUGAUUAGGGUUAGGGUUUCAAAGCAUGGAUUCUCCUGAACCUUCUAAAGCCCCAAUUUCCUCUUCUUCUGCUGCAGCCUCUAUUUCUGCUUCUUCCCCAGUUCAAGAAUCCCCUUUUUCCAAUUACAUUAGCAGUCUAUCUCCUAUAAAGCAUGUCAAGGUGCCACAUGUAGCUCAAGGGUUCCUGGGACUUAAUUCUCCCCCUCUUGUAUUUACAUCCCCACAUAUAAAUACACUUAGAAGGCCGCAGUCAUCCAGUGUGGAAGUAUCUCAAAAUGGUGAAGGAGAUAAGAAAAAUAUAGAUGGUCCUGGUAGUUUGGAAAGAUCUGUUUCUGAAUUGCAGCAGGGCUUGAUCACUGAUAUUAAGAAGGAGGAUGAUACCAAGGACUCUGUGUCGGUCCAACCGAGUAGUUCCUCUGGCUGUGUUGAUGAAUACUUGGCUGAUCCUGUGGAAGCAGACUGUGCAAACUCUGAAUAUUCCAUAAACUUAAAUUGCAAAGAAUCAAAAAAUGCGUUUCAAUCAUCAGUAAAUGGUUUACUAGAAACAAAGAAUUUAAAAUUUGCUGGCAAAAAUGAUGUGGGGAGGGAAAUUGAUGCAGCCCAAUUGUUGUCAGGGCAGAGUGAAGAAGGCCUUGAAAGAAAGUUAACCUCUAAUGUCAAGCCAGUGAAGAUUGAAGAUGAGCAACAUGCUGGUCAAGUGAAAUCUGAUGAAUGCCCCGAAUUUGGGUCUGACAUGUUUGAUCUUUCUUCUCAGGGAAAAGAAUGCAAAAACUUGGAUGCUCAGAAAGUAGUAGAGGACCAUGAGGAUAGAUGUGAUGGUUUCCUUCAACUGCUGCCUGGAUCUUUGCAAAGGGUUCAGGAAUAUGAAGAUUUUGCUGAACAUUUUGAAGGAGUUGCAGAGGUUACAGUUGAUAGCAUGACAAAUGAUCUUGAGGCUAGCGAACACCAACGUGGCAUGAGUAGGCGUUGCCUUCAAUUUGGAGAUGCUCAGCCAGAAGCUACAGCAAAUUGCAGCAGUUCAAGUCUAGCAAAUGAUAUGAUCACUUCAAGAUCAGUUGCUACAACAUCAGAAACAGAGGGUUUGGGUUUGUCUCAUGUGGAUUUAAGUGUUAUAUCAAGAAAGAGGCAACUAGUUAACUUGUCCCAAUUAGCGAUAAACAUGAUUCCCCAGCACUAUGGUGAAAAGUCUUCCUUAACUGUUUCCAAGCCAUCAGGUAUUGGCUUACACCUAAACAGCAUUGUUAAUGCUAUACCAAUGGGUCGAGGUGGAACUGCAAGCAUGAAAUUGGCAGUGGAUUCUAUGGGUAUACAGGGGAUAAAAUCAGCAUCUGUUAUGAGCUGUCAGUCAAUGGAAAACAUGCAGAGUUGCUCAGAUGCAUUUGAGAAAGUAUUGGCUGCUCCUCAGGAUGGAACACUUGAAGCAAAGGCUUGUAUGAUUCCAGGUUCUGCUGCUUCUGAAUCACUCUGCACCAUGGAAUCGAUUGAGUGUCAGAUGACUCUACACAGAAAGAGGGAGCUUAGCUCGGAGCAUGGAGAUAGUAAUGAGAUGUUUAACCAACAAAGCCCCAAAAAGAAAAGGAAGAAAUCAUCAAACAGCACUGAUGGUGAGGGUUGCAAGCGUUGCAAUUGCAAGAAGACCAAAUGCUUGAAACUCUAUUGUGAUUGUUUUGCUGCCGGAAUCUAUUGUGCUGAUCCUUGUUCCUGCCAAGGUUGCUUCAACCGACCUGAAUAUGAAGAUACAGUUCUUGAGACACGUCAACAAAUUGAAUCCCGUAAUCCACUAGCAUUUGCCCCCAAGAUUGUACAGCCAGUCACCGAGUUUCCAGUAACUAGCAGGGAAGAUGGAAACUGGAAGACACCAUCCUCAGCAAGACACAAAAGAGGGUGCAAUUGCAAAAGGUCAAUGUGUCUGAAAAAAUAUUGUGAAUGCUAUCAGGCUAAUGUUGGUUGCUCCAUUGGAUGUCGAUGUGAGGGGUGUAAAAAUGUCUUUGGCAAGAAAGAAGACUAUUGUGUGACUGAAGAGAUAGUGAACAGAGGUGGUGGGGAGAUAUCAGAAAGCACAGUGGCAGCUAAGAAAGAUUUCUUGAAUUCUGACUUGUGUGAUCCACAUUAUCUUACACCUCUGACACCUUCAUUCCAAUGCUCAGACCAUGGAAAGAAUGCACCCAAAUCCAGACUUCUUUCCAGGAGAUGCCUUCCAUCACCUGAGUCUGAUCUUACCGUCUUAGCAAAAUCGCCAAGAUCUCCAAGAACUUCUGAUAGCAAUGACAUGCUUCUGGAAACAAGUAAAGAAAAUUUGGAUGUUGGUUCUUACUGUGAGGGAAUCAAUUACAACAACGCAGAUGUGCUUGGCAAUGAAUGCCAUCACACUCCACUUCCAAAUCAUCCCUCAAUUAUUUUAGGUUCCACAUCAUCCAAAGCACGGGAAUUGACAAGUCUUUCACGAUUCCCAUUGGGCCCUAGAAGCGGUUGUCUCUCUUCAGGGGGUUCCCUUCGUUGGCGUAGUUCGCCUAUUACGCCCAUGUCUUCUUUAGAUGGGACUAAGAAUCUUCAGGGGCUUGACUCUGAUGGACUUUCUGACAUUUUGGAGGAUGAUACACCUGAGAUAUUGAAAGACACAUCUACACCCAAUAAGUCUGUGAAAACAAGUUCUCCAAAUGGCAAGCGAGUUUCACCUCCUCACAAUUUGCUACAGCUUGGGUCAAGCUCUUCAGGGCCAUUAAGAAGUGGCCGUAAGUUCAUAUUAAAAGCUGUGCCUUCUUUCCCACCUCUCACUCCCUGCAUUGAUUUAAAAGGCAGCAGUAAUCAGAAUAGAAGCAGUUGCCAAGAAAAUAGUAGCAAUGAUUAAUUUUCAAACCUGCAUUUUGGAGUAAGUUGUUGCGUUUUACUGACCCCUUAUUAUGUGCAUUUUUUAGCCAAAUCACUGACUUAUGCUAGGUUUUGCUACAUUGUGCAGCAUACUGCAUUAGGUUACUUUCAUGUUGGAUUGUUGUACUUGAGCUUUAGAGAGCAUUGAGCACCUUGCUUUUAAAGUUUCAUAACUUUUUAAGGUACUAGAGCGGCCACAUUUUUAGAGCAUCGAAUAAAUACCCGGAAUGAUGGCCUCGUGAUCCCUAGUCUUCCUUUCUCUGUUUAUCUCCGUUGCUUGUCAGUCUUUUCGUUCGUUUGGAUGUUUCUAAUGCAAGCCACUUAUGGUUCAUUCCUCAUGAUUAGAGGAAGGACUCGCCAAAGCCCAAAGGUGCUGCCGUUCAACCCAGCAACAAAAAAAAAAAAAUUUAUCAACACUGAUGUCCGCAUUUCUUUCAUCUUUUUUAAUGAGAUUAUCGAAGCUAAUGUUGAGUAAGCCUUUGUUGUCCUUCUGUCAAACCUUUAUGUAAGAGUGCGCCAUUCUAUCAUCAUUGUUAUAUUUGCCGCUGGUAAAUUACUUACGUGCAACAUACUGGUCAUUAAUUCAACCAUAUACAAUUUGCCUCUGAAUCCGAAACCAUGAAGGGGAAUGUACUAAUGUUAUUUUGCGGCAAUGAUGAAAGCAAUGGAUCCAAAAUUAUUACUACAAUUUUCUCCCAACUCGAAGACCGAAGAACGGAGGACUGCAACCGUGAUUUAAACUCCACCGGCUGGGGAAGACCUUUACCUGGUUGACUUGGGUUAAUGAUUGUGUCGGCUAUUUCUUGUACAUGGGUAUUCUGCAAGUGUAAAUACAAUGUAGCCUAAGCGCUUUACAAAGUAGGUA